rnacentral:sRNA from 1 species
GCCUGGCACAAUGUCUCGUCCCUGUAAUCCAAGUCACUGGGAGGCUGAGGUUGGCGGAUCGAGUGAGUUGAUGAGCUCGGGGCUGUAGUACGCUAUGCCGAACGGCUGUCCGCACCAAGUUUGCUCGUGAUAUGGAGCCCUGGUCAUCUAAAGAGGGCCCCGAUCGGAAGCGAACCAGGUCAAAUCCCCGGUGCCGUCUAGUAGUGAGUAGACACUGCAGUGCAGCCUUGGCAAGACAUCGAAACCCAAUUAU